rnacentral:pre_miRNA from 1 species
UCUUAUGGAUGAGUAAAGAAAGUGGUUUCUUGAGAUGGAAUUUACUUCUGGUGAAGAUGCUGUGAA